ACACUUUAGUGAUCGAGCUGAGAGUUUAUCAAGACCAGGAGAGAGAUUGUGUACAAAACAUAUGGACCCGAAGACUCGGGGAGGAAUUGGGUGAAGUGUGGAAUUGGGAAAAAGGAUUGAAUGAGGGAUUUUAUUGUUAAGGACAGAUGAGGGCAUGCGAUUUAUAAGGUAACAUGCCGUUAGCACAGCAUCCCCCCAAAACCGAAGUGGAACAUUACCAUGGAGAAGUAGGAUCCGAGUGGUUUCUACAAGAUGCCGAAUUUUGCGUUCGGCUACCCCGUUUUGUUGAGGUGUGUGAGGGCAAGAUGUUUGAUGACGAAUACCAUUGCGUGACAUAAAGUUCUGAAAUUGUUGGGAUAAAUAUUCACGGGCAUUGUCACUUCCGAAGGUACGGAUAGACACACCGAAUUGAAUUCUUAUUUCUUGAUAGAAUUGUUCAAAAAUAGAAAAUAAUUCAGAUCUAUUCUUCAUUAAAAAUAACCACGUGCAACGUGAAAAAUCAUCAAUAAAGGUGACAAAAUACCUAGACUCAAGAGUAGAGACAGUACGCGAGGGACCCUAAUAAUUCAGAUCUAUUCUUCAUUAAAAAUAACCACGUGCAACGUGAAAAAUCAUCAAUAAAGGUGACAAAAUAC
rnacentral:lncRNA from 1 species